UGCAGCUUGAAUCUUAUUGUCAUUUUAAUGCAUCAUGUGAGGUAUUAUAACCAGCAGACCUCAGAGGCUCGUCUCUCAUAAACUGAACAACAGAGACACUGAACAGAUGAAGCAUUCAGGAGAGAAGAGAAUUGAUGUAGACCCGCCCAGUGGUCAAGGUGAGAGGAACCCUGUACAGCGUUCUUGCUGAGAGUUUGGGGUCUCCGCUGGUUGACUGCCAAUCUCAUGGCGACGACAUGCCUCCAGGAAGUUACUACACCCAGCCAAGAAAAAGUCAUGCAAAGGCAUUGAACCCCCAUAAAACAACAACGUGUCGUUUGUACACUUCGGUUUUUAUACAAGUUAAACAACUGAGAUCUAACGUGUUAAUUAUUGAGCUUUAGAGGUGCUGGUAGGUGGAUUUUGUUUCCGUUGGACAGAGCCAGGCUAGCUGUUUCCACCUGCUUCCAGUCUUUGCGCUAAGCUAAGCUAACCGGCUGCUGGCU